CGGGACUAGUGCGUGGUGGGAAGGGGCGGGAUCCUGCCGCCGCGGCUGCCGCUGGAGCCGGUGUCCGGGCUGGUGAUGGGGUUAAUUCCCUUCCGUGAGACUCUUCCUUGCAACCAGCCGGCCCCGCCGUCGCCCCGCCGCGCCGCGCUCACGCCGCCUCCUCCUGCUCCUUCUCCUCAGUAACGCGGUUGACUGAAUCCAGUGUCUUGACCUUAACUUAAUACUCCCUCAUGAACAGAAACUAAAGAAACAAAGGACAGCAAGGCGAUGGUGGCACAUGCCUUUAAUCCUAGCACUUCAGGAGGCGGAGGCAGGCGGAUCCCUGUGAGUUCGGGGGCCAGCCUGGUCUACACAGAGAUACCCUGUCUUGAAAAAAACAAACAAACAAAAAGAUAAAAAGAAACAAAGGGACAGCAAUCCAACCACUAAAAGCUUUUAUUGGAC
rnacentral:lncRNA from 1 species